AUGCAUGUAUAAGUACAAACCUUCAUAAGGUGAAACCGCGAACGGCUCAUUAUAACAGCUAUAAUUUACUAGACCUUGAGCAACUACUUGGAUACCUGUGGUAAUUCUAGAGCUAAUACAUGCACCGAAGUUGUUCCUCACGGAGCAAUGCAUUUAUUUGAGCAAAACCAGGCGGCUUCGGCCGUUUCUGUUGAUUCAGAAUAACUAAGCUGAUCGCAUGGGCUUGUCCCGGCGACGUGUCUUUCAAGUGUCUGCCUUAUCAACUUUCGAUGGUAGUGUACGUGACUACCAUGGUGUUGACGGGUAACGGAGGAUAAGGGUUCGACUCCGGAGAAGGGGCCUGAGAAAUGGCCACUACGUCUAAGGAUGGCAGCAGGCGCGCAAAUUACCCACUCUCAGUUCGAGGAGGUAGUGACGAAAAAUAACAAGGCCGUUCUCUUUGAGGCCGGCCAUUGGAAUGGGUACAACUUAAACCCUUUAACGAGUAUCAAUGAGAGGGCAAGUCUGGUGCCAGCAGCCGCGGUAAUUCCAGCUCUCAAAAUGCAUAGAACCAUUGCUGCGGUUAAAAAGCUCGUAGUUGGAUCUGUGCCGGCGACGUGGUCCGCCCUAACCGGCGGUACUGCGCUCGUCGGCUUUGGGCCGGUCUUCGGUCGGUCGCCUUCACUG
rnacentral:rRNA from 1 species